rnacentral:rRNA from 1 species
CAAUAGCGUAUAUUAAAGUUGUUGCGGUUAAAAGCUCGUAGUUGGAUUUCUGCUGAGGACGACCGGUCCGCCCUCUGGGUGAGUAUCUGGCUUGGGCCUUUGGCAUCUUUCUUGGGAGAACGUAGCUGCACUUGACUGUGUGGUGCGGUAUCCAGGACUUUACUUGAGGAAAUUAGAGUGUUUCAAGCAGGCACACGCCUUUGAAAUACAUUAGCAUGGAAUAAUAAGAUAGGACCUUGGUUCUAUUUUGUUGGUUUCUAGAGCUGAGGUAAUGAUUAAUAGGAUAGUUGGGGGCAUUCGUAUUUAACUGUCAGAGGUGAAAUUCUUGGAUUUGUUAAAAGACGGACUACUGCGAAAGCAUUUGCCAAGGAUGUUUUCAUUGAUCAAGAACGAAAGUUAGGGGAUCGAAGACG